GUGUGAGAGCUGUGCAACAGUCGGGGUGUGUGUGGGUGUGUGUGUGUGGGUUGGUGACAGGUGUUUUGCAGGACCGGUGUUAAGCUGUAAGUGUUUUCCCAACCCGAGCCCUAUUCCUGGUGAACACAGAUGCUCGCAGACACAAACGCCGCCAUGUUUUAAGAUCCGAGUGACUGCUUGCUGCUACGCCCAUGAAGCUCCUCCAUCAGAACCGGGAGGUCCUCAGGAAGAAGCUGGAUCAGAGAAGAGGGAAGUCACCUCUGCGGGAGAUUGGCCAUCUUUGCACACUUAAAAGUUCAAAUCACACACUAAGUUUUUGUUUCAAAGCCAGCUGAUAA